rnacentral:rRNA from 1 species
UACGAAGGGGGCUAGCGUUGUUCGGAAUUACUGGGCGUAAAGCGCGCGCAGGCGGUCCUUUAAGUCAGGGGUGAAAUCCUGGAGCUCAACUCCAGAACUGCCUUUGAUACUGAAGAUCUUGAGUCCGGGAGAGGUGAGUGGAACUGCGAGUGUAGAGGUGAAAUUCGUAGAUAUUCGCAAGAACACCAGUGGCGAAGGCGGCCUUCUGGACCAAUACUGACGCUCAUGCACGAAAGCGUGGGGAGCAAACAGG